GACGAACGCUGGCGGCGUGCUUAACACAUGCAAGUCGAACGAAGUGGCGAACGGGUGAGUAAAACGAGGGUACCCUGCACUCCGUGAUGGGAUAAGGCUAGGAAACGUGGUCUAAUACCAGAUAAAGGGGGAUGGGCCCGCGCUCUAUCAGCUUGUUGGUGGGGUGAUGGCCUACCAAGGCGGGGACGAGUAGCCGGCCUGAGAGGGUGAGCGGCCACAAUGGGACUGCGAUACGGCCCAGAGGACUACGGGUAGAAGAAGUGGGGGAUAUGGCACAAUGGUCAAAAGCCUGAUGCAGGAACGCCGCGUGGGGGAUGAGGGCUUUCGGGUUGUAAAUCUCAGUCGCAAGCGAACGGGUAGGUGGAGAAGAAGCGACGGCUAACUACGUGCCAGCCGCCGCGGUAAUAC
rnacentral:rRNA from 1 species